UAAUAAAGUUAAUACAUUUUUUGUUUAAAUUAAUCUUUUAUAAACUUGAUGAAAGUUUUCUAAUUUUCUAAAAUGAAAUAAGAGGUAUAAUAGAGUUAGUUUUUCAUAUUUAAAAUAAUUGUUUAAGUUAAUGAAAGUUAAGUUUGAAAUAAUUUGUGAGAACUUAAAACGAUUUCUAAAAUAAUUUGAAAACCGUAAACUUUGAUUCAUAGACUCGCUUAAAAUAAUAAAGAAUUUCUUUAAGUUAUUCGGAUUAUUUAAAUCGCAUAUUUUAUAAAAAUCGGGGUUAUUUAGGAACUAACUUAAAUCUCGUUAACAUUUCUUGUAGACUCCGAUUUCGUAGACGAGGAAUACCAUGAGCGCUAACACGUUCGGUGAACUUAACUUUCGGGCACGCGUCACGAGGUGGGUGAUCGAUCGGGGGAACAAAAGGGAUAUCAUUUAGAGUUGUCAUCCACUUAGCAUAUGAUUAGCUUCCGCUGGAACUCUGAACACUUUAUUAAUUAGUAAUGUUUAAUGAACAAUUUACUUAGUUGUAAUGAUUAAUGAAUUUUGAGUUGGUGUGUUAACUUAGCCUUGCAUUUAUUUCCAAGGAGAUAAUUGCGGCGGUAACACCACUCGACGAGUCGAACCCUCGUGGAUUUAUUUUCCCCCAAAACCCGAGUUUUAUCGAAUAAGGAAGGGUUCGGGUCGGCGAGGGUGUUACAUUUUGUUGAUCCUUUUUACAGGAAGGAUGUUUACUUAGCAGCAUAUGUAGGUUCCAUUCCACCAUUAGAAGGGGAAAGACAUUGGCCAAGGGUGCCAUGUGAAGUACAACCCCCUCCUAUCAAAAUAGGUCCAGGUAGACCUAGAAAGAAUAGGAGGAGGGACCCUGAGGAAGACCCUAAGAAGCCUGGGACUUUGAAGAGAACUGGAUCUGAAAUGACUUGCAGCCUAUGCAAGGUCAAGGGCAUAAAGGAGGUGUCCAAACAGGGACACCAUAACUGUGCCUGAUCCUGCACCUAAAAAACCUAGGGGGAGGCCUAGGAAGGAUGGCCAACCACCACAAGCCACAGAUCAACCUACUGCAAACUCAACUCAUCACAAUGCAACUGCACAACCCUCUCAGCUUGACAGAGGGGGAAGAAUGGUCAGAGGUGGAGUUGACUCCAGGGGAGGUGGAAGAAG